GCAGUAAAUUAAUUACAAGAUUCAAUAAAAGAUUAAUAGUUUUGAAUUUCAUUUCAGGUAUCGUUAGUUCAAGAUGAGGGCCAGUGCCACACCAGGUGGAUCGGUGGAUUUACAGCUGUAGUUGUCAUCCUUGCAGCGGCGCUCCGGAUGGAGACCGGAACCGCAAGAGGCCCGUCUAUCGUCAUGGAAGUUCUUGGCAGCUACAGAAAGCCAGUGUGGCAUAAGGUGGAUCUGUGGAUUAUUAGCAGAAGCCAAGCACAACAGUUUGCUUGUAGAUAAAAUUAAUAAGGAUUUCCAGGUAUAGGUGGUCACCAGAUGAGGCCGGCGUGUCAUCAGGUCGAUCAGUGGAUUAAGAGCAGGUGUUGAUUUAAUUGGCACACGCCGUCCUUUGGUACGCUCUAGGAAGCAACACAGUCCUGUGAGGAGACCCACCAGGUGGAUCAGUGGAUUAAAAGCAGGUGUUGAUUUAAUUGGUACACGCCGUCCCCUUGGCACGCUCUGGGGCAGUAACUCAGUCCUGUGAGGAGGCAUUCCGUCAUCCGCAGUCAUCAAAUGCAACAGCCGCCCAUCAGUUAAGUGGAUACUGCGUGCAUUAGUUUGUAAAUAAUUUAAUAAUUAAUAAUUAGUAUUUCCAGUUGUUGUUUGCAGCAAGAUGAGGGCAGGAGUAACAUCAGGUGGAUUCGGCGGAUUUAAAGCAGGUUUUGAAUUAAGUGGUACAUGCCGUCCUUUUGGCACGCUCUUCCAUUUGCAGUAAUAAAGUGCAACAGCCGCCCCUCAGUUAAUUGUUGUUUGCAGCAAGAUGAGGGCAGGAGUAACAUCAGGUGGAUUCGGCGGAUUU